AGCAAUACCUCGGUGAUAUGGGGAUAAAGUCGAAACCUGUAGAAGGUUAACAUAGGCUCUCCAUCCCCUACUCCCAUCCGAUAUGUCCCUGUCGUACAGAAUGGUUACAUGUCUCUCAAUUAUCCAUACUUACGGGUUGCUUGAGUAUACGGGAAACCCUACUCCUUGGGAUGAUGGGUUGCAUGGCUAAAUUGAGAGGG
rnacentral:ribozyme from 1 species